UGGGGAAUAUUGGACAAUGGGCGCAAGCCUGAUCCAGCCAUGCCGCGUGAGUGAUGAAGGCCCUAGGGUUGUAAAGCUCUUUCACCGGUGAAGAUAAUGACGGUAACCGGAGAAGAAGCUCCGGCUAACUUCGUGCCAGCAGCCGCGGUAAUACGAAGGGGGCUAGCGUUGUUCGGAUUUACUGGGCGUAAAGCGCACGUAGGAGGACUUUUAAGUCAGGGGUGAAAUCCCGGGGCUCAACCCCGGAACUGCCUUUGAUACUGGAAGUCUUGAGUAUGGUAGAGGUGAGUGUAAUUCCGAGUGUAAAGGUGAAAUUCGUAGAUAUUCGGAGGAACACCAGUGGCGAAGGCGGCUCACUGGAACAUUACUAACGCUGAGGUGCGAAAGCGUGGGGAGCAAACAGG
rnacentral:rRNA from 1 species